AGACAGACAUGGGGGAGGAAGCGUCGUCCUCGGGCAAGUGAGUUGCAAUACACCGCAUCACGUCUGCUUGCUGUCUACUGAGAGCCUCUGCUGUCAGCUUUUGGAUUCUCUAAGGGCUCUUGGAGCUGCCCCUUCUUGUCCCAGCCAGAUCAGAGCCGGACAGCUCCUCAGGCUGGCCUAGGCCUCUGAGGCAGCACAUCACAUGGCCUCCUGCUCUAGGAACCCCCCAACUCGGUAAGGGCAAGUUAUUUCAUGAAUAACCCCAUCUUCAGUUUAUCUUUCUGUAUUCUCCUUCUACUUUUUCAUCUCUCCAGUACCUCUUUGGAUCAGAUGGCCUCUUCCUUCACAAGGGAUGUGGGAAAGGGAGUGAAAGGCCGAUGGAAUGGACUGUGUAGGUUCAUAAGAGAAGUUAGCAGCGUGGCAAGUGAGCAGGACUGCUGAUCAGGAAGCAAGUCUCUGCGCACAUCAGCACCCUCAGAGUACUUUUCAAAAGGAAAACCUAAGUUUUCCAAAACCUGAAGUGACCCCUCUAGGCUUUGGCCUCCUUGAAGCUGUAGGCGGGGGCACAGGUGUUAAAGAAGUGGAACCGUUUACAAGUUUUGGUUUCUUUGUUUUGUUUUGUUUUUUCAAAGCAUUUCCAGUUAUGUAGAAGAGGCUCUGGAGGGAGACUGUGUUCUCACAGGAACAAGGAGAUAGGAUCUUCCUGAAGGACUGUACUCCUGAGCCUGGCUUUCCAGAAAACAUAGAUGAGUCCCCACCCCAGUCCAGGUCAGUCAGAAUUUCUGGGGAUGGAGACCUGCAAACAGGAUGGCAGAGGUCAGUGUAUUAAUUCAUCUGUGAAGAACCACUAGGCUCCCGUUAUUCUCUUCUCUUUCCUGCUGUGCGGCUAGAGCACAGAGCAACAUGUGGGACGUGAAGGUUCCCACAAGCCUUUACCAAAUGAAGGGAAGAACCAGUGAAGCCCCAGGGGAGCGAGGAGCGCUGCCCCUUCCAUGUGGUCUGCAGCGAACCUGCAGCUUAGCCAGGUGUUGGGCUGAUCGCCCCCACUGGCCGGGCCGUGGCCCACAGUGUGCCACGCUGCCACUGGGGCAGCAGUGGGGAUGGAUUCUCAUUCUACAGAGGGACAGUUAGUGACCAUUGUCAGGGUACAAAAUACAGGUGUUUUGUUUCUUUUUGUUUUUUGCCAUGUGGACCAAUUAUUGGACGGCAGAGUCCAAAUAAAUUGUCCCCUGGCAGGUUAACCGCAGGAAGAGCAGGAACAGUGCGGCAUCUUCUCACCUUCGUUCUUUGCAUGUCUCUGCUUUGGGACGCGAAAUACCUACAGUUCUCUCCUUUCCUGCUGGCGGCUCUUCCGAACCAUCCACCGGCGGUUUGAGAUCAGUUACUAGUACAUUGCCGUUCUUUUCAGAGGAUGAUUUACUUUUGGGUUUUCCAUGUGGGAUUUUAUCAGAUGGUGAGUGGGGGUGGGUGGACACUCAAGAUGACCAGUUGGGCACUGUCACACUCUGUAGGCUUCUCUGAACAUAGCAGUUCCCGGCUGUGCAGGCUCAUGAUCCUUGGGAACGGCGGUGUAGACACCGACUGUCUGAUUUUUGGUUCUGGCCGUCCCUGGACUUAGCCCAGUGUCCAGACCUCAUUAUACAGUCUGGGGGAAGGAAGGUAAAGAGCCGAUCCUUCUGUGGUGCUCGGCUUAGCUUCGGUGCCACCUCCCACUCUAUGUGUGUUUUCGCAUCGGAUUUUCCAAAUACCCUGUCGAGGAGACGGUGCCAUUUUUGAUAAAGGAGUGGAAUUCGAGCCACCGACAGGUGAAUCUGUGCCCAGGACCACACAGACACACUGACACACAGACAGCACCUGGCUGAGCGGGGAGUGCACCUGCAGGCAGCUUCGCUUGGACGCUGCUCUCCCGCUCCCCUCUGUGACCAGGGCACAGUAGGUGGCUGCCUUGAAACCCUCUGUGUAUGGUCCUGGUGGUGCUGCUGCUGCAGAGGGAGGGGAUGCCGACAGGGACAGGCACGCUUACAGCACAUCCUGUGUGUGCAUGUCACUAGAUACCAUUUGUUCCCAGACAGAAACAUGCUUGAAAACCAGCUGGUAGUUUCAACCUUGAAUGGCCAAUGAAGAGAACACAGUCGUCCUAGGCUUUUACUUAAAGCUGGGCACGCCCUUGGUCAUUCUCACUGGGUCUUCAAGUCUAGACUUAGAACUGGUGCCUUGAUGUAGAAGAUAAUGAUCGUUAGGUGUGGAGCCCUGGAUGACAGUCCAUCCCGCACUAAUCAGCUGCUGACCCUGCGCCGUGGGGCCGCGUGCCUGCCCUGCGCGCCACCCUCCUGCCCCGUAAGACCCGGUGGUCUUUUCAGCGGUCCAGCAUCCCCAACACGUGGUGAAUUCCACCAUUCAGCCUCUCCAUGGGUAUCUUUGGAACAUUAGCAAAUCUCACAGACACGAUAAAGAAAAGGGUGAUACACUUGAAGCAGAGUGAACGUCAUUUAUGGAGACAAACAUAAAUCACCAGAACCAAGCACCUUCAGGCUGGAAACCAGUUCUGUGAAGCCAUGGCGCUGACGCCUACCAUUAAAGCAAACACACCCAGUGAGGGAGGGAGGAAAAAAUGCAGUUACUCUUGGGCUCUUCAAUGACCAGAGAAGUCAGGUGGAAAAUAUGGUUGGAAAUUUGAGGAACUUGUCCUUUUCAGCAUUUUUUAAAUUUCAAAUUCUCUACCGUUGCAUGUGGCAUGCCCUGUUCUGGGGAGUGAUUCUUGUUCAUGCUGCUCUGAGCCGUGAGAGUCUCAUCAGCACAAUUAACAGGACACUGGUCGUUGGUGCCAUGUGAUUCCCACAAGGAAAAAAGACAAAGAGCAAGUCUUUAUGCACCAGUGCCGUUCUGAUAAACAGAAGUGAUAAAUCGAGGAACCUGCCCCGGACAUCAAUGAAGUUGAUGUCAUGAUGUCAGACUGAGUUGGGAGGUCAAUGCUGAGAGGCAGACUGACGUCGUCUGGCCAUCUGGGCUUGACCCAUUGGGCCCUCCAGUAUUUUGGUAAAAGCUCUACUGAAAAUUCCUUCCAACCCAAAAUGUCAGCAUUUGGGGUAUAAGAGCAUUGGAUCUGUCUGAUUGAGGCAAGUUAGACUCUCUCAUUUCUCAUUUGUUUCUUUUACUCAAAUACUAGGCCAUUGAACUUAAACACAUUCUUUCCGUAGAGACUCAACUUCUACCCAAGUGAAUUUUUACCAUGGAAAACUCUAAGGCUGAGUUUGGUGGUAGAAAAACCCAAAUCUUUGAUACCUUUUUCUUUAAUCACCACCAUGUGGCCACACGUAAGGAUUGUCCAUUUCUAGAAGCAGGCUUCUUUUAACCACCUUCUUAGGUGUUUCCUCUUAAUUACGACUACAAGAAAGUUACAAGUUGGAGUGGAAGAAAAAAAUUAUUGUCCAAUAUGGAGUCCCCAAAUUUCUAACAAAAUUGUUGACUAUCUGAUAGCUUUGUUAAAUAUUUAUUAAGCAUCUGUUAUUAGACACUACUACUCUUAGUUCUGUAAGAAUGUCUUUCCGUAUUGAAUCCUUUGAUUCAUUGUUCUCUUCUUUGAAAGUAUUCCUCAUGUUCUAAGAAGUAAAAGAUGAUGAAAAAUUUUUAAUAAUUUUACUAUUAUAGUAUUUUUUAAAAUAGUAUUUCUUGUUGGAAACUCAAACUCAACUUUCUAAUGGUAAGCCUAUUUUUUCCCCAAAACCUGCUUGGUUCCCUGACUUCUCUCUUUCCAUCUGGAUCACCCACCACCAUGUCGCCGCCAUCUUUAAUCCCUUCUUCAUAUUGCCAUGUUACAAAGAUUGGCCACGUGGGAUGUUUCUCUCACAGCUGCUCCCAUCUCUAGUGCCACCAGUCACCCAUGAUACCAAUUAAUUGUCACCUGUUAAACCCUCUCAACUGGUCUCCAGUUCCAGGUCUCUGGUUCGUCUUGAGCUAGCAAGUCUUCUGGACAUGUAUGUUAUUGUUCCAAGUACUCAGUGGUCGCCCACAGUCAGUGAACAGAGGCCCCUCUUGUCCUGCUGGUUCUUCCUCAGACUGAUUCUUCACUCUCUGAUCCCUGUUCCUCCACCUUUUCCCAGUGUCACUUCUCAUUCUCCCCAUACCAAUCUCUUGCACUCAGCGCCCGGUGUUAGCUCUAGGAUUUGCCUGUGCUGGGCUCAGGAGUCCGGUCUUAGCCUUCAUCCUGGGCAGGGCAUUGCUUUCUCUUGGGAACCUCCAAGAGUACUGUCUGUUCUCUCCUGAUUCUACUUCCCACCUCGUCCUCCUGGCCUGGAGCUUCUUGAGGACUUGUCACUUGGUUUCAGACACUCACACGCUGCCUUGGCCACUGCUGCUUGUGUUCAGUACAUUUCCAUGAACCAGCAGUCCUUUGUCGACAAAAUCAUCUUCAUGUCAGUCUGUCUUUCCCGUGUUUGCCCACGUUCAGAACCCAGAUUUUAUAGUUCCACUACAUUUCCCAGGACAUGAAAGUCACUUACUAUGAAAGUGAAUUACGGAUGAUUUGAGGACUUUAGUCUAACCACAAAGGACAGAGAAAUGAGAAAUUGUCACAUGAGGAUACUUCCUGGGAAAACCAGGGUGGAGGGACCCACAUCACCACUGGAAUGACCUAGAAACAUGAACAAAGACUGGUCAGUUCCAUGAAGGUUGAAGGUGACUGUGAUAUAUCUCCAUGGUGAUUCCUCAGCAGGGCAGCUGGCAGGAGGCCCCAGACCACGAGCCUCCCCUCCCUCGUCUUUCCCUCCGGACUUCUGAGGAGAGAGCCACUUUCAUUUGUGGUAGCCCACAGCCCCCUGCUCAUGUCUCUUGUAGGCUGUGGUUUACUGCAUUUCAUCUUAUGCCCAAGGCUAGAUUAUUAAGGAUUGAAUUGGAAUUUUCCAUAGUAACUGCAACAUAAACUUUGAUUAGCAUUUUGCCAUGGUGUGAUGAUUUCUAAAAAAUUUCCUUGCCCCUGUUAUGGCUCUAUUAGCGUAACUCAGGGGAACAUACGCUGUGCCCACGUGAUCCCUCUCUGAUCUUUCCGUGCUCAAACUUCCCUAACAGCAAGAUGACAUGGUAGAGAGAGUCCUGGGGAUAUAUGUACUUUGGAUAAUCUGAUACAUGCUCUAUAAAAGCAACAUUGAUGAGUAAUGCCUGGGAGAUAGUUCUUUCCAAAUCCCUCUGAAAUACGGUAUUGGCAAAAACGGUUUAUACUUGGGAAACAUGGUUCCUUCUUUCCCUAAUACCUGCUUUUCGGUAUUCAAGUUAAUUUUUUUCAGUGUCCCAAUGAGAGAGGGAAGUAUACACUUAGCAGAGAGACAUGGAGCCUUCAGGUUAAUGCGUUUUGUUUUUAUUUAGACCAGUGGUUCAUCUCUUGAUAAUAUGUUUGUAUACCUCCCAAACCCCUUGACUCAUCCAUUGUGUUCUGAACGAUGGCUGAAGUGCGUCCGACUCACACCCACACUGAUGACUUAAGGUAGAGGAAGCUACUACGGAUUUCUAUCAGGAAUUGUAUUUGCAACCAGGAGCUGUCUCUGAAGUUAUGGUUUCUCGUGCUUGGAGAGGCAGGGUUCUUGGUUGCUUGAAGACACCUGAGCGCUUCUGGAUCUGAGGUGGAUACAUUAUUGUACGAGGUCCUGAGGUUUGGACCUAUGCUUCCUGUGGCUUACUGUUUGUCAUGAGAUGCUCUCUCCACAACUUGAUUGUAGGAAUCCUGGCAAGGGCCCCACAACUUGGUACCAGUCCUCUAGCCUGCCCUUCAUAUAGAAGAUAUAUUAACUUCUAACAUAAGUGGCUUAAAAAUUAUGACGUUUUGCUACCUUCACAUUCUAGGUUAGCUCACAUAUUGGAGAAAGACUUAUCCAAAUGUUUGUAUGCGAAUUUCAUGGUAAUAAAAGUGUUGUCAUGUAAUAUCAAUCAUAUUAAAUUUUCCUUUAAAAUAUUGAAGUCACUCCAUAAUGUUAUGAAAUAUUAAAAUCAAAUAUGUGAGGAGACUGAAAAGGAUCUGCCUCAUAAAUUAUGUCAGCUAAUUUUGGGCUGGAAACGAAGGUCUCGGUGGAAUUACGGUGGGGAAGGGUUCUUCACGUUUAUGAAGGAAUUGUUUAAAAUACAGCUGCUGGUUUUGUCUGGGGAGGCCCUAAUAACCUUACUUUCCCCAGAUGGCUGUGGGAGUGCUGUUUCUGGCGAGGCCCUGACUGGUUAAGCAGCCCCCUGGACGCCACCUGCCCGAUUCUCUGAUGGGCUGGUCCAGAGACUCAGAAUAAAACAUCCCACCGACCCUGCCUCUGCCUUCCUACCUGGAUGCUGGUCCGCAGACUCGCUCUGUGGUGUAGCUGUGAUUUCUUUAUCAUUAGUCCCCGAGAAGCAGCCUGUCCCCAACAGUAACUAAUCUGCUCCUCAUACAAGAGAGUUCGUAGCUGUUGCUCUAAGUGAGACAGCCACGGGUUAGGACAGCCAGGAGAAUACAAAUGUCUAGCUAAGUGAGCACAUCUGUCCAGCUGCUCGGCUGUGAUCAGCUGUGUUAGUUCUGAGAAUCAUUUGUAUUUUCUGACUGCUUAUUUCAGUGUGUAGGAGUCUUCCUGCUCGACUGGUGCCUUUCGUGCACAAGCCUUUCACUUAUGUGCUUAUUUAAAAUUUUUUUUUCUUUUUUUCUCUAUAGAGGGAGAAACAUGACAAAAAUUCUCUAUGCUGCCAUGGGGAAAAUAAUUGUGGUGGAACAGAGAAGCCCCCAAGUAAACGGGGGGGGGGGGGAGAUAAUAUCCAACUUUCCAUUGGGCUUCUUGACAGCUCUUUGUGCAAACAUGGAGCUUUCCAGCUUUUCCCUUAUUAGCCGGUUUCUUAACCAGCAGUUGUGCUUCUCAAUAGGGUAAUGGGCCUGAUAUAAGUAAAAGCUCCAGGUCUCCAUCACAAGAAAAAAAGAUGAAGUCCUGACAACUGUAGUAAGUUGAAAGGCAUAUAAUUUGAGUUUCAAGGGCAUCCUGUCUUAAAGUAGAGGUCUUUCCUUUAGCUAAAGAAAUCAAACAGCAUCCUUCUCUCUUUAAGGAAACGAUGAAUUUAGUGAAGAAAAGCACAAACUCUCUGUGCUAACCUAAUUUAUGCAAAAUCAUGCAAUUAGUGAUAGCUGUGCUAGACAUUUUUUAUCCAAAUGCGCCUCUAAUAAAACCAUCACGAGGAGCAGUGCCAUCUAAUGUAAGUAGUAAACAUGGGUAGUAAAUUAUUAAUAUCUGGUGAGGCAUGCAGAUGGCAGGGCUUCCAUUUUCCCUUUGAGCUGCUUGUGCCCAUUUGCUAAUCCUUCUUGUAAAAAAAAUGGCAAAGAUAAAUAUGAACUUUUCUUUGGAAAGUAACAUUCAACAGGAUAUGAAUGCAAUAAAUAGCACAGUGAAUAGUACAGACCGCGCUUUCCACCUCCGCAAAGUGAAAUGGUGGCUACUUUCUGCUUCAUCUCUAGCAUAACCUUAAUCACGGAAGAAGCGUUUUCAUAUGUGUACAGCUGGCUGGGAAUGGCCCAGGUCAGGUGAUUCGGGUGGUAUUUUUCAAUCAAGUCUCCAUCGCUGUAACCUUGACAGGCCCCCACUGGCAAAUGGAAAGGUAACCCCUAGCAAGUCCGUCCAAGGGAAGACAUCCAAGUGCACGGACCCCGACCCUCUGCCAGUCUGAGCUGUAGUCCUGGGGAAUGACAGCGUGGCUUCUGAGCCAAGGCAGGGCCACCCCGAAGUUCCCACGCUGGCCAGUGCACCUCGGCAUGCUUCUGCAGAACGUAAGCGCCUAAGCAGACAAGGUCAAAUGAAACUGCCUCAUUGCCGCCUCUGGCUCUGGGGCCCAACCGGCCUUGCAGCCCCCAGGCACAGACCUGCAGAGGGAAAGGGGUCAGCGUGGAGGUCCUGCUCUGUAGAUGAGCCAAAUGCACUGAUUCUCUCCCCCGUUGACUCCAGAGGCGCCUCUCCUCCCCCACUCCUGGCAUCCCCUUAUCACUAGCUCCAUCUCCCUGUGGCUUGUUUCUGGGGAGUAAUGCUGAGGUCACAGGGACAGGUUCUUUAUCCCAGCGAUGCUGGAACCCUGAGCAUGAACCAGCAAGACGCAGACUCUUGCUCUUGACUUUGGGCUCCAGGCACCGCCCCGGCCCCGGGCCGGCCCGGGGCAUCCUCCUCCCUCCUGCCCUCGCCCUCCAGCAAGCUCGCUUGCUCCCUCUGCAGCGCUGGUUGGUUUCCCACGCCUGUCCCGGGCUGACACGGGAACGGGACGCCACGCGCCCCGAAGCCCCGCGGACGCCGACCCCGGCCCGCAGCCCCGGGAAAGUGCCGACCCAAGCGAGCCCCGGCGCCACGGGAGGAAAUGGGUAUUUCACGUGGGCAUCUGCCUUCGCUCCUGCUCGCGCCUCUCCUUCGCGGCAGGCGUCAGGGCCCCUCUGCUCGGACAUAUCCCCCCCGAAGUUAAUCAGCCGCGCUUGCCAGUUCGCUCUAGUUUGGAAAAUACUUAAACACCUCGAAACGUUCCAGAGACGCGGCCGCCCGCGAUCCCCCAGUUCUGCCUGGCUAGGGCUCUCGGGCGCUCACGAGGCUGUGGCGUUUGUCUAGAACCGACAGCGUAGACAUGCAGCCCCACCGCUCCCAGGCCGUCGCCAAAGUUGCCAGACGCCCCUCGGCGACCCGGCCGCGCCAGAUGCAGUUGCAUAACCUCGCCCGCCGCCCGGUCCGCUCCUGGCUGCACCGGCGCGUCCUGGCCCUGGGAGCCGCCGAGUCCCGGACGAAGCCUCUUUGGGGGCGAGCGGGAGCGCCCGGCCGGGGUCGGCGCCCGUCCGAGCGGUGCUCUGCCUGCGGCCAAGUGCAGCCGGCGCCUGGGCGCGGGAGGAGGGCACGCGGGGCUACGCUUACCUUCGG